GUUUUAAUAGUUUAACAAAAACCUUGGUCUUGUAAAUCAAAAAUAAAAUAAAUUAUUUUUUAAAACA
rnacentral:tRNA from 1 species